rnacentral:rRNA from 1 species
UACGUAGGGUGCGAGCGUUGUCCGGAAUUAUUGGGCGUAAAGAGCUUGUAGGCGGUUUGUCGCGUCUGCUGUGAAAAUCCGGGGCUCAACCCCGGACUUGCAGUGGGUACGGGCAGACUAGAGUGUGGUAGGGGAGACUGGAAUUCCUGGUGUAGCGGUGAAAUGCGCAGAUAUCGGGAGGAACACCUGCGGCGAAGGCGGGUUGCUGGGCUGACACUGACGCUAAGGCGCGAAAGCUAGGGGAGCGAACGGG